AGUGAACGCUGGCGGUAGGCUUAACACAUGCAAGUCGAACGGCAGCACAGUAAGAGCUUGCUCUUACGGGUGGCGAGUGGCGGACGGGUGAGGAAUACAUCGGAAUCUACUUUUUCGUGGGGGAUAACGUAGGGAAACUUACGCUAAUACCGCAUACGACCUACGGGUGAAAGCAGGGGAUCUUCGGACCUUGCGCGAUUGAAUGAGCCGAUGUCGGAUUAGCUAGUUGGCGGGGUAAAGGCCCACCAAGGCGACGAUCCGUAGCUGGUCUGAGAGGAUGAUCAGCCACACUGGAACUGAGACACGGUCCAGACUCCUACGGGAGGCAGCAGUGGGGAAUAUUGGACAAUGGGCGCAAGCCUGAUCCAGCCAUACCGCGUGGGUGAAGAAGGCCUUCGGGUUGUAAAGCCCUUUUGUGGGAAAGAAAAGCAGCAGGUUAAUACCCCGCUGUUCUGACGGUACCCAAAGAAUAAGCACCGGCUAACUUCGUG
rnacentral:rRNA from 1 species